rnacentral:rRNA from 1 species
CUUCCAGUAUGGGGAGCAAAACAGCUAUGGGUCAAGUCCGAUAUCUUUAGGAGAAGUCUUAUUGUGAGGGCGAGUUAUAUAACACCAUAGGACUGGCCGUCCCAUAUGAAAAGAUUAUAUUAGAAUUGAAUGAAGCUUUGUUUAUAUAUUGAUAAUGACAGUAUAUAUAUCGUGUCUUGACUAAUUGCGUGCCAGCAGUCGCGGUAAUACGUAAGAGACUAGUGUUAUUCAUCUUAAUUAGGUUUAAAGGGUACCCAGACGGUCAAUAUAGCUUAUAAAAUGUUAGUACUUGACUAGAGUUUUAUGUAAGAGGGCAGUACUUGAGGAGGAGAGAUGAAAUUUCGUGAUACCAAAGGGACUCUGUAAAGGCGAAGGCAGCCCUCUAUGUAAAAACUGACGUUGAAGGACGAAGGCACAGAGAACAAACAGGAUUAGAUACCCAAGUAGUCUUUGCAGUAAAUGAUGAAUGCCAUAGGUUAGAUUGGUCAAUUAUAGUCUAGGGUUAGUCUAGCAAACUAAUACCCUAUGCUAUAAUCCUAAUAUCUGGUCUAUAAAUGAAAGUGUAAGCAUUUCACCUCAAGAGUAAUGUGGCAACGCAGGAACUGAAAUCACUAGACCGUUUCUGACACCAGUAGUGAAGUAUGUUAU